UCACUUUUGCAGCACAUAAACUAAAAUUGAAACGAUAGAAGAUAGAGAAGAUUAGCAUGGCCCCUUUGCACAGAUGAUGUACAAAUUCAUGAACCUUUCGAUAUUUUU